rnacentral:rRNA from 1 species
AUUGAACGCUGGCGGCAGGCCUAACACAUGCAAGUCGAACGGUAACAGGAAGACGCUUGCUUCUUUGCUGACGAGUGGCGGACGUGUGAGUAAUGUCUGGGAAACUUCCUGAUGGAGGGGGAUAACUACUGGAAACGGUAGCUAAUACCGCAUAAUGUCGCAAGACCAAAGAGGGGGACCUUCGGGCCUCUUGCCAUCGGAUUUGCCCAGAUGGGAUUAGCUAGUAGGUGGGGUAACGGCUCACCUAGGCGACGAUCCCUAGCUGGUCUGAGAGGAUGACCAGCCACACUGGAACUGAGACACGGUCCUGACUCCUACGGGAAGCAGCAGUGGGGAAUAUUGCACCAUGGGCGCAAGGCUGAUGCAGCUAUGCCGCGUGUAUGAAGAAGGCCUUCGGGUUGUAAAGUACUUUCAGCGGGGAGGAAGGGAGUAAAGUUAAUACCUGUGCUCAUUGACGUUACCCGCAGAAGAAGCACCGGCUAACUCCGUG